AUUUAUUAAAUUGGAUUUAUAAGACGUGUAAGAUUUAAGUGAUUGAAAAUAAUGUUUCGUUUAAUCUAAAUAGCUGCAUUUCAGAGGUAGAGGUGAAUAUUUGUUCACGGAAAGAAAGAAAUCCGCUCUGCUGCUAAUUUCUAUUUAUGAUUAUAGAAUCGUUAAUUUUACCAAGAAAACCAAUACAAUCAACUAAUAGUUUCGUUCUUACAAUUUAUCCAAACUUAUUUGAUCGCUAUUAGAAAGUGAUAGCUGGUGCUGUAGGAUACUUGGUUGUAGAAAAAUAUGAAUUGUGGGCGACAGUUUUUGAGUGCCUGUAUCUCUAAAGGCACCACCAAAUCAUCGUCUAAUUAUGAAGUGUGAUAUUGUAGAAAUGAUGCUGUGGUCUUUGAGUGGCAUAUGUAAGAUGAAAGUUAUUCUUAACGCCGAUGGAUUUGUCCAUCAUAUGGGAGCCGAUCAUGUUCAUGGAAAAACGGUGGCACCCGUCGCGGAAGAGUAUGCGGCUGAUGAAGUCGAUAAGGUAACCCAAGAUAACGCCAGUACGUAGUCAGAAUUCAAUCAGCUAUUCUGUGCCUGCUUCGUGCCCAAAUAUCACCACUGAGCAACAGGCUGCGGGUGCUUGUCGUAUUGUUAAAAACACCAAAGGUUUUGAGGCGCUAGUUCAUGAUGGAUACCGCUACUAUAAUAUGCAAGUUCAACAGGAUGAUUCGGUUAAACGGCUGUGCAAAAUGAAUAAUAAAACAUGCCGGGCGGCCGUGGAUUUAUUCCCCGAUGAAACGGUUGCCAAGGCCAGCGAAAAAUUUCUUUUCCUAGUGAUAAAUUUGAUCACUUUCAGUGCAGCAAUCACCCAUCCAGCUAAAUGAAA